CACAAUGAGACUGAGGGACCAUUCCAUGUAAAGUCUUUCGACAGUGAGGGUUUACAGAAAGCCCAGGCACCGCUGUCCUCGGCCUUCAACCCUGCGGAAGUCCAGUUAGACAGCCGGCCUUUGACGCGCGCACAGGUGGACACUGACAUGCAGCUCAGACGGGGAGUAAAAGGGGCUUCGUCCUAGCAGCUUGCAGGCAGAAGCUUGGUGGGAGUCAUGGUCAUGCUGCCAGCCGGCCUGAGAGGUAUUCACUUGGGACCUUGAACAUGUGCUGGGAUGCUGCUUUCCACAGCUGCCUGCCAUCACUUGAUGGAAAAUGAAAAUGUCCGUGGACCAGCAUGACUUUUUCCAUGGGAUGAAACAGGCAAGUGAUCUGCAGUCAGACUAAAAACAUAAAUUAAAAAAAUGUAUUGUUGAGAUUA